rnacentral:rRNA from 1 species
AACGAACGCUGGUGGCGUGCUUAACACAUGCAAGUCGAACGAGAAAGCUUCUUUCGGGAAGUCAGUAAAGUGGCGCACGGGUGAGUAACACGUGAAUAAUCUGCCCUUGAGAUCGGGAUAACAUGGUGAAAACUAUGCUAAUACCGGAUAAGACCACAUUUCAUAAGAAAUGCGGGAAAAGGAGUCUCAAUCUUCGCUUGGGGGAUGAGUUCGCGGAACAUUAGCUUGUUGGUGGGAUAAAAGCUCACCAAGGCUACGAUGUUUAGCCGGCCUGAGAGGGUGAUCGGCCACACUGGAACUGAGACACGGUCCAAACUCCUACGGGAGGCAGCAGUGGGGAAUAUUGCGCAAUGGGCGAAAGCCUGACGCAGCAACGCCGUGUGAGCGAUG